rnacentral:rRNA from 1 species
UUAAAUUGAAGAGUUUGAUCAUGGCUCAGAUUGAACGCUGGCGGCAGGCCUAACACAUGCAAGUCGAACGGUAACAGGAAGCAGCUUGCUGCUUUGCUGACGAGUGGCGGACGGGUGAGUAAUGUCUGGGAAACUGCCUGAUGGAGGGGGAUAACUACUGGAAACGGUAGCUAAUACCGCAUAACGUCGCAAGACCAAAGAGGGG